GCAUGCCUACAACAUAGCAUUAAUGCAACAUAUCCCAUUAGAACUCCAUAGUUAAGUGCGCUCAGGAUAGAGUAGUACUGGGAUGGGUGAUCAUCCGAGAAGUCCUAUUGUUUUACAUGCC
rnacentral:rRNA from 1 species